GAUGAACGCUGGCGGCGUGCCUAAUACAUGCAAGUCGAGCGAACAGACGAGGAGCUUGCUCCUCUGACGUUAGCGGCGGACGGGUGAGUAACACGUGGAUAACCUACCUAUAAGACUGGGAUAACUUCGGGAAACCGGCGCUAAUACCGGAUAAUAUAUUGAACCGCAUGGUUCAAUAGUGAAAGACGGUUUUGCUGUCACUUAUAGAUGGAUCCGCGCCGCAUUAGCUAGUUGGUAAGGUAACGGCUUACCAAGGCAACGAUGCGUAGCCGACCUGAGGGGGUGAUCGGCCACACUGGAACUGAGACGCGGUCCAGACUCCUACGGGAGGCAGCAGUAGGGAAUCUUCCGCAAUGGGCGAAAGCCUGACGGAGCAACGCCGCGUGAGUGAUGAAGGUCUUCGGAUCGUAAAACUCUGUUAUUAGGGAAGAACAAAUGUGUAAGUAACUAUGCACGUCUUGACGGUACCUAAUCAGAAAGCCACGGCUAACUACGUG
rnacentral:rRNA from 1 species